GGAACCACGUUUGCAACCUCGUCCAAUCUGGUCCCCAGAAGGGCGGGGACGCCUACCUGCACCUGUAGCCUGGCGGCCGCCUCCUGUCCCACCCUGACCCUCCCCUCCUCCUCAGUUCUGGUGUCUUCAGGCCUUUGGCCAACCACCAGCAAGUGGGCAGAUGUCUCAGCGCGUUCCUACGGACGCUCAGGAAGGGUAGUGCGCCGGAGUCAGUAGCCCAGGUCCUGUCUAGCUGAGGCCAGAGAGCAGAGUGAACGGGAAGAAAGGACGCGCCCUAGAAUGUGAGACUCCCACCGGGAAAGGCUGACCAGACUCACCCUGGGGCGGAGGAUCUGACAGUCCCUGCCACCUGAGCGGACCGUGCUGCCAACCCCAGGUUGUUCCGACAGUGUGCGAGUGUCAGGGGUGUUGGGCGAGAUCAGCAACAACGAUUCCUGCAUCUCUCCUAGUCAGCGAUAAGGGACACCGCGACUAAGCUUCAGGCACCCGGAGACGCCCCCUCCGUGUUCUAGACAGCCCGCGCGGCGCAGCGCGGCGCCGCAGUGGCCCUGAAAGCCCCUACAGGGCUCUCCCUCAACUCCCAUCCAGCAAGUCUGCGUGGGAGAAGCCUGGAAGGGCUGGAGUGAAGAGUCAGAGACCACAGAAAAGAGAGGAGCUGUCCUGGCCCAGGCCCUUCCCCACGCAGGGUGCUUGGCCUAUGGGCCAUGGCGGACAGUGGCGGCUCCAGCCCCUGGUGGAAAUCUCUGACCAGGAAGAAAAGCAAGGAAGUUACGGUGGGGGUGCAGCCUCAGGUUCGGCCAGAGACUGGCCAGGAACCCUCACCACCUCACUCAGAUCGGACUAGCAGCUUGCCAGAAAAUCAGCACUCCAAUAUCCUUGGGGACCCCGGAGAGUCCCUCAGGUCAGAUAAGUUGUGUGAGGAGAAAACAGGCAAUAGUCGGCGCAAUUUGAAGAUCUCACGCUCUGGCAGAUUCAAGGAGAAGAGGAAAAUGCGUGCCACACUGCUCCCUGAAGGAGACAAGUCCCCUGAGGAGGCUGACUUUCCAGAUGACCCUCAGGAGGACAAGCAAUAGCCCGAACAAGCUUCCAGGAUUGCACAGAAAGAGAAAAACACUAUUACCCCUAGACCCAGUACUUGAUGCUUCACCCAAGUUCAGAGUAUGCAGUUGACUAAGGCCUUCAAGAUUUAAUAUGUUCUAGAAAGUGAAGUGUCAGCUGAGGCCUCAAAAUUCCAUGACUCAGAGACUGAUGCUGGCAGCUGCCCAGUUCCCGGAUGUAGCAAACACCAUGGGUUCUGGAGACCUGAGAAGCCCCACUGGUCUUCAGGUACUCACGCAUUAGCUGACAAGAGCUACAGAGGAGGAGUAGACACCAUCACAAGCCCUGUGGCAGUAUUAGAAGCUGUCUCUGGCCCACCAGCUUGUGCCAUGCCCUCCCUUGAUAUAAUUACAACAAACCUAGCCUGCCAGGAGUGAAGAAACCUUUGGCAAGUGUAGCCCUGCCAAUGUGCAAGACAUAAAAGGAAGUGGAGUUAUGGAUGCUAAAGAAGAUGACAUUGAUCUCUUUGGAUCUGAGGGAGAAAGGGAAGAAGUGAAGAGACUCCCAGAAGAGCGCCUUGCUUGGUAUGAAUCCAAGAACGCCAAAACGCCCGUACUGUCGCCAAGUCUCUAUCUUACAAGAUGUGAAACCUUGGGAUGAUGAGACAGACGUGACAAAAUUAGAGGAUUGUAGCGGAGGCAUCCGAGCUGAUGGCUUGGUGGGAGGCUUUGAUUCCCGUGGGUUACAGAAUUUAAAGGCUUCAAAUACAGCGUUGUAAUUGAAGAUGACAAAGUUGGAACAGAUAUGUUGAAAGAACAGGUUGCUUCUGAGGACAGUGGGCAGUCCAUGGAUGUGGCUACUUUUAACAAAGCCUAAAAAUCCAUCCUCACCUCAAGUCAGAACACUGAAGUGAAAGCUUGAACGAUUCUAAAAGGAAAGAUAUAAGACAUUUUCCUCUUGGCUAGAAAAAUUUACAAGAUUGCAUCUUGGUAAUCAAGUCCUCCUUUCUUCCUUUAGUAACUGAUACGGUUUCUUCCCUGUGGUGUUAUUUCUUCCAGAAUUUUAUAUGAAUGGAUCUAGCCAUUUUGACCCUUGGUUUCUUCUAUAAUGCAUGGAUUCAUUUACUGCAUCUUGCAUGUCACUCCUGUUUGCUGACUAGUUAAGUUUGCUAAACACCACUGUUGAUUUAUCUGCCCAGUAGAGGAUGUCUGGGGAUUUCCAGCCGGGUACUUUUUGUUUUGUUUGUUUGUUUGUUUUUGUUUAUUCAUUUUUUUCCAUUUAUAAGUGGUGCUGUUGGAAGGAUCUUCUCCCAGCUCUUGGGUGAAACUGUGAUUAUAUUUCUUUUUAAUUUAUUUUUCUCUAAGGCAAACACAUGAACAAGUAUAUGCUUAACUGCUUGAGAGACUGCGCAAGUGUGUUUUCUAAAGCAGCUGCCCAUUUUGUGUCUCACCACUAAUAUAUGCAAGUCCUUUGCUAGGACUUGAGGCUACUGGUGUGCUCUCUUAUUGACCAUGUUUAAGGACGUGAGGAAGUUUCACAGUAUAGUUUCAACGUUCAUGUUCCUGGUGACUAGUAAUGUUGAAUAGCUUCCAUUUUCUUAGUUACUAUCCAGAUAACCUCCUAAAUAAAGUUUCUACACCUUU